AUUGAACGCUGGCGGCAUGCCUUACACGUGCAAGUCGAACGGUAACAGGUCUUCGGAUGCUGACGAGCGGCGAACGGGUGAGUAAUGCAUCGGAACGUGCCCAGCAGUGGGGGAUCGCCCGGCGAAAGCCGGAUUAAUACCGCAUCCGACCUGAGGGCGAAAGGGGAGGAUCGCAAGACCUCUCGCCAUUGGAGCGGCCGAUGUCAGAUUAGCUGGGUGGUGGGGUAAAGGCCUACCAAGGGAACGAUCUGUAGUUGGUCUGAGAGGACGAACAGCCACACUGGGACUGAGACACGGCCCAGACUCCUACGGGAGGCAGCAGUGGGGAAUUUUGGACAAUGGGCGCAAGCCUGAUCCAGCAAUGCCGCGUGCAGGAAGAAGGUCUUCGGGUUGUAAACUGCUUUUGUCAGGGAAGAAAUCUUCUGGGUUAAUACCUCGGGAGGAUGACGGUACCUGAAGAAUAAGCACCGGCUAACUACGUGCCAGCAGCCGCCGUAACAC
rnacentral:rRNA from 1 species